rnacentral:lncRNA from 1 species
CGGAGGUCCAGAAACAGGGCUACCCGCCAAUCGCGUGGUGACAGAGGACAGAGGGUCCUAAGGACAGAUGAGGAUGUUCUUGAUUUUGUACUCCAAGUAAAUGUAUUUAAGAAUGGUUACCCCAACCUCUGAGAAAUCUGAAAGUGGCAGCUGGAAAUGCCAGUUUUCACAGCCCACCUUUUUCAGAGACCACACACAGAGACUACACUGAUUGGAAUCAAGUUUAAAGGCAUGGCUUACAUUCAGACAGGAUAUGAGCAAAGUUACCCAGCAGCACCAGCGGGAACUGAGCCAAUGAAAACCCU